rnacentral:rRNA from 1 species
AUCCAGACUCCUACGGGAGGCAGCAGUGGGGAAUAUUGCACAAUGGGGGAAACCCUGAUGCAGCGACGCCGCGUGAGCGAUGAAGUAUUUCGGUAUGUAAAGCUCUAUCAGCAGGGAAGAAGAUGACGGUACCUGACUAAGAAGCCCCGGCUAACUACGUGCCAGCAGCCGCGGUAAUACGUAGGGGGCAAGCGUUAUCCGGAUUUACUGGGUGUAAAGGGAGCGUAGACGGCGAUGCAAGCCAGAUGUGAAAGCCCGGGGCUCAACCCCGGGACUGCAUUUGGAACUGUGCGGCUGGAGUGUCGGAGAGGCAGGCGGAAUUCCUAGUGUAGCGGUGAAAUGCGUAGAUAUUAGGAGGAACACCAGUGGCGAAGGCGGCCUGCUGGACGAUGACUGACGUUGAGGCUCGAAAGCGUGGGGAGCAAACAGGAUUAGAUACCCGUGUAG